GGUGAGGUGUCCGAGUGGCUGAAGGGCACGCCUGGAAAGUGUGUAUACGGCAACGUAUCGGGGGUUCGAAUCCCCCCCUCACCGCCA
rnacentral:tRNA from 1 species